UCCUACGGGAGGCAGCAGUGGGGAAUUUUGGACAAUGGGCGCAAGCCUGAUCCAGCAAUGCCGCGUGCAGGAAGAAGGCCUUCGGGUUGUAAACUGCUUUUGUACGGAACGAAACGGUCCUGGUUAAUACCCGGGGCUAAUGACGGUACCGUAAGAAUAAGCACCGGCUAACUACGUGCCAGCAGCCGCGGUAAUCCGUAGGGUGCAAGCGUUAAUCGGAAUUACUGGGGGUAAAGCGUGCGCAGGGGGUGCUGUAAGACAGGCGUGAAACCCCCGGGCUUAACCUGGGAACGGCACUUGUGACUGCACGGCUGGAGUGCGGCAGAGGGGGAUGGAAUUCCGCGUGUAGCAGUGAAAUGCGUAGAUAUGCGGAGGAACACCGAUGGCGAAGGCAAUCCCCUGGGCCUGCACUGACGCUCAUGCACGAAAGCGUGGGGAGCAAACAGGAUUAGAUACCCCGGUAGUCCA
rnacentral:rRNA from 1 species